UACAGAGGUCUCGAGCGUUGUUCGGAUUCAUUGGGCGUAAAGGGUGCGUAGGCGGUGGGGCAAGUCUGGUGUGAAAUCCCGGGGCUCAACUCCGGAACUGCACUGGAUACUGCUUUACUAGAGCGCUGGAGAGGGAACUGGAAUUUACGGUGUAGCAGUGAAAUGCGUAGAGAUCGUAAGGAAGACCAGUGGCGAAGGCGAGUUCCUGGACAGCAGCUGACGCUGAGGCACGAAGGCCAGGGGAGCAAACGGG
rnacentral:rRNA from 1 species